AGGAGCCCUUCGAUCUGGAGCAGAUGACUUCAGAGACCACAGGGCAGCUGGUCCGCAAGGCCAGGCAGUAGAGAAGGAGCCAGCAGGGGAGAGGUUCAUGCACAGCAUCAGAUGUGUCUGACUUCUAAGGAAAAUGAGACUCCAGACACAUUGAUGGGGCAUCAACAAGACUCUGGAUAGGAAAUGAGUGAGCUGCCAACUACUGAGCUGCUGCGCCGGGGACCAC